UUUCUAUCAUGUAAUACGUGGUAUUGAUUAAUGGCCUAGAAUGCAGUAAUCGCUUCUAACGAGUUCCGCCGCGGGAAUUAGCUGGAUCUGCAAUAUAAUGAUUUGCUGAAUAAUUUCGCCUGUGAAAAUCAUCCUGUCAAUAAUUUUUGAACGAGUAAUACGCAAAGAUACAAGAGAAAAAACAGAGGCGAAAGCUGUUCCAAUACUUCAGAAUUAUUGCAAACAAUCAGAAUUGUCUACUAGUUGUCUUUACUUCCAAAGAAGUUCCUGUUCUGUACAUCCGACAAAACGUCCUAUAUGGAUAGUAAGAAUGUUUGACCAUCAAUCAGAUUAGAAAACGAAAACGUUUUUCACUUUAAUCUUAUAUUUAAAUGGUACAUCAAUCAGUGCUGUGUUUAUUGAAUGAUUUUAUGAUGGCGGCGAGAGUAUUUUUUAUUGAUGAGUGGGAUAUUAGGUCUCUAGCUAUCCUAAAGAUAUGGGAAGCAAGAUGCUCCAUGAAGGAGAGGAGUUGAAUAAGAAUAUAUGAAUAAAAAUUUCAAUAUUUUUUCAAAGAAUUUUGCGUUACUUAAUAUUCGUCAUUUAAUGUGUCAAAUCGUAAAAUCGGCGGAGGAAGCUGAUGCUGCUCACGAAUUUAUUACAAAUCUUCCAAAUGAUAUGAAGCUGGUGAGAGAGGCACCUUACUAUCUGGUGUAUGAAAACAACAUGUUUUUAUUGCUAGAACAUUACUAUGGCAACCAUCUACUACAAUAUUGAAUUUUAAUAAAGGAGCGCAUUGGAUUGUGAAUGCAGAAGAGUGGUUUACAAAGCAGUUGGAAAUUCUAACCAAGGCAGAAACAUCGUUAGCUAUUGUUCAUGUAUGCAAUAUGUGAUUGGGAAUACGUAGGAAGAAGAAAAGGAAGAAAAAACAUUUGUGCUUGACGACGAAAUUUGGAAAAGUCAAUAUGGUGCUGUCUUAUAAAGCGUGGGACGGUGAUACGAGGAGGUGGGAGGGAUUUACUUCAUUCAAAGGUUCCAACCGCGAGCGGCUUUAGCUGGAGUGUCUAUGCGAUUCUACUGAGAAUGAUUUGUCGAAGGGCCGUUCGACGUUGCAUGCAUUAGAAGAGUCAAAUGGAACAAAUACAUUUAUAAGAGAAUAUUUUCAAAGAAUCCUACGUCAAAAACAUAUUCAUCAUCUAUUAUGGAAUGUCAAGCAAUUGACUUUCGAAGUUGUUCACCAGUGUUAUCAUCUAAAAAGGUUGUUAUUUAAUAUUUUUAGUUCCUUGUUACAGUUUUUAGGCAAUGACAUGCCGCUUUAUAUUAUAGCUCGAAUUUAAAAAAAGGAAGAAAAGAAAAAUACAUAUCCAUAUAUCUUAUGUGCGGACACUGAAUUAUAUAAUAUCGAUCGGCGGUAUUUUACUAUGUACAAUUACCGACGGUUUCCAAAACAUAUUUGGUAUUUCUAAGCUGUAGUAAUAAUCAACGUGCUGGGUUCGAAAGGAAGGCAUUUCCUUUUCAAACGUGAUCCGCAUAAUUAUGUUCCAUAGCGUCUUCAUUACGUGGUUGCAAUUAACAAGGAAGAAGAGGACGAAGAGGAGGAAGAGGACAAACAUUUAUAAUGGUGUUCACGACGAUCCUCAUGGUAUUGCCUCAAGGUAAUCCUCAAUUAAAAUAGUGCUGUAUUACAAAGCUUCAUUCAUAUGGUGGUACGAGGAUACGGAAUAUACGUUAUUGAAAGGAUUCAAAGUAAGUGGCUUUAGAUAGAGGAUAUAAUGGAGUGUUAUGGGAAAGAUUCAUCGUAGGGUUGUUUGUCGUUGCAAAGGGAAUCUGGAUUCAAAUGGAACUGAAAUGGUACUCAGGCAGCUUUAUCAUUGAAAAUGAUCAAAGCUGCAUAUACGAUCAAAGUAUUCAUUGUUCUUCGGGAUAAUAACGUUAGCCUGGACACGCUUUUAAAUUAUGCGUUAAUAUGUAGUGUACGUUUAUCUCACCGUGUCAUCGUUAUACCGUCAGUUUAUAUUAUUAUUCAAUAUAAUUAAAAAGAGAAGAAGUGUUUGGUUCAAUGUUCCAAAUUAUUUGUCAGAAUAUUCACGUCAUGUACUUAAAAAUAAUGUAUAAUGUACGUUUUUCAGAAAUAUAGGUAUUUGGACGAACUAAAUUAUUACGUAGCGCAAAUAUCUUACGAUUGAGAUUUAAUGAAAAUGCAUGCAUACGUUACGUUCUUCCAUACGUAUCGUCGUGUACGUUCGUGUUAAACAAUUUGUUAUUAUCUUUCUCCACACACUUACGCUCUUAUAUUCUCUCAUCCGCGCUAGGGCAUGUAAGCGGGAAUAUGUCCGCGGUUCUGUGGGUGUGCGUGCGUAUAUCUCCUCGCUUAUUUUGACGAAAGGUAUUUUUUCAAAAGAAGAAAGAUAUUUUGUCGUUCGUUCUCCUGUCAUUAAACUAAGCAGGCAAUGCGAUAAUACGAUUAGCAGUAUAUUUCAAUUAGCUAUUUAGCUGCAUUAAUUAAUUAGCAGAUCGAUGUACCACAACUAAUUUAGUUCUUUCAUACGAAGGAAUACUUUUUCCGAAAAAUUAAUUCCCGAUAGGAAAAUUUCAAAGAACGAUCCACUUAUACUGCCAAUUAUCUAAUAUAUCAUAUAUUCCAAACUAAUUAGUUCCUCGGAAAAUGUUAUCUUAAUCGAUUCGUUUAUUUCUCAUUACGUAUAACCCAGUAUAGCAACGACAUACUUAUAUAUCUAGUAACAUAAUAUUUCUAAUUUAUUCAGCAUUUUCCUAAUGUUUUACUCGGAUGAUUAAAUAUCUCGAUAAGCGUACAUAUAAUAAACAUUUACAUAAUAUUUCCCUAACAUAGUAAAGAUCUAUUAUACUUCUUUCUAGCCAUCGUUAUUCGGUCAACCGAUUUACAUCGCACAAAUCAUCAGUUAUAAAUAUUGUAGGAAGAGAUUUUCCCAGAGAUUACUAUUCCUUUUAAAUACAAUAUUCUGAAUUCUACUUUCUUGUAAUGUCAACAUUCUCUUCGCACAAAAUAAAUAAAUAUGAAUAAUUAAAUGCCAAAAAAAUUUUCCUCAUCGGAAAGUGGAUAAACGCAAUUCGAUUUUUACAUCGUGAAAUGAUCGAAAAGAUAUGAGUAUGGAGAAUCACAUGGGGAAUCAAAUGGAGAAAAAAGAAUCAAGAAGAAAAAACAGAGAUAAAAGCAAACAGAAAUCUUCCUUUUACGCUAAUAUCGAUCCAGAACUGUUGGUAACAUUGUGAAGAGAUAAUUGGGGAUCGUGAAAAUAUGAAAAAGAGGGGAUUAAACGAAACAGCGCAUGCUCGAGUCAAUAUAAAAGAUGUUAGGAGCUGUCCGCGGAAGUUGAAUAAACUAUUUAUUCUGUUUCGAAUCAUCCUACAAGCAUCUUCCUGGAGGUUUCAAGAGAGGGACGAAUUAGAAUAAUAUGUAAGUUCCUGUCCAUCGCGAUAAUGUUACUUAUCUGGAAGAUUAUAAAAAACGCGCUAUCGGUUAGUGAAAUCCUAUUUGAAUUUUAUGCUACUUGAUAUUAACGCAUUAUACUAUAUUUUAUACAAUUUUGUGUUCAAUACUACGAUAUACCGUUUUAUAAUAUACUAUAGAAAGUUGUAUAGUUUAUCAUUUUCUUGCACUAUAUAUUAUAUCUAGUAAUUUGUCUUGGGUAUAUUAUUGUAUAAUAUUAACCAGAGGAAAUAUUAUAAUUUGCGUUAUUUGAACUAAAGCUUAGUGAAUUGUUUGGAAUAAUAUAAAUAUCCCUUGGAAUGUUAAUAUUUGAGUCUCCUUUUCUAAUUAUCGGCUUGUAAAACUGUGUUUCGAUCUAUCAAUCGUAAUGCGUUAUUAAGUACUAUUUGUUUUCUUACAGAUAGUCCUGCAAGGCGUAAUUAUUAAUCGAGUUAAAACUAUUUGUGCUAGUACUUGGUAAGUUCAUUACAUUCUGUUAAAAAUUAGUUUAUAUAUUUUCUCUUUUCUUUUGAAUGAAAUUUAUGAAUGAAAUUUUCUCUAUUCUUUUCAGAUGGUAGACUGAUUCGAUAUAUACGUAAAUACAUGCAUAUAUAUACACACAUAUAUAUAUAUUUCACCGCACUGUGUACUUUGUAUGUACUAAAGUCUAAUGUUCAUGUUUAUAUUUAUUUAUAUAUUUGCCUAUAAACUGAUAUACUCUUUAUAUAUUUCUGAGAAUCAUAUGGAUAUAGAUAAAUGUAUAAAUAAAUAAGCUCAUAAUUUGCCUUCAAUACGUAUAACAUAAGCAGUGCGUUGUAAAAUAUAUAUACAUAUAUGUAUGUAUAUAUAUAUAGACGUAUGUGUAUACAUAUAUGUCAUACGAAUAUCAGUAAACCACGGAUGUAAAAUUAAAAAGAAAAUUGAAAAAUAAGUCAAAAUAAAAAAUGAAGUUAAUAUUAAAGAAAAAAAGAGACAUCGAGAAAAGAAGCAAGCUUAUAUGUAUUAGAAAACUCUGAAGUGUGUUUAACAGAAUAAAAUAUCAAGAGGAUAGAAAUAUACACGUCCAGGAGAGUCGAGCACAUAAUUCAAGGAACCAUUAAAGAGGAAUAUUAAUGGCUACGACGAGUAUAUUCUAUUCCUGGCAAUCUGCUGAACAAAUACAUUUAUAAGAGAAUAUUUUCAAAGAAUCCUACGUCAAAAACAUAUUCAUCAUCUAUUAUGGAAUGUCAAGAAAUUGACGUUCGAAGUUGUUCACCAGUGUUAUCAUCUAAAAAGAUUGUGCUUUAAUAUUUUUAGAUCCUUGUUACAGUUUUUAGGCAAUGACAUGCCGCUUUAUAUUAUAACUCGAAUUUAAAAAAAGGAAGAACAGAAAAAUACAUAUCCAUAUAUCUUAUGUGCGGACACUGAAUUAUAUAAUAACGAUCGGCGGCAUUUUACUAUCAACGAUUAUCGACGGUUUCCUAAACAUAUUUGCUAUUUCUUAGCUGUAGUAAUAAUCAACGUGCUGGGUUCGAAAGGAAGGCAUUUCCUUUACAAACGUGAUCCGCAUAAUUAUGUUCCAUAGCGUCUUCAUUACGUGGUUGCAAUUAACAAGGAAGAAGAGGAAGAAGAGGAAGAAGAGGACAAACAUUUAUAAUGGUGUUGACGACGAUCCUCAAAGUAUUGCCUCAAGGUAAUCGUCAAUUAAAAUAGCGCUGUAUUACAAAGCUUCAUUCAUAUGGUGAUACGAGGAUAUGGAAUAUACGUUAUUGAAAGGAUUCAAAGGGUUGUUUGUCGUUGCAAAGGGAAUCUGGAUUCAAAUGGAACUGAAAUGGUAUUCAGGCAGCUUUAUCAUUGAAAAUGAUCAAAGCUGCAUAUACGAUCAAAGUAUUCAUUGUUCUUCGGGAUAAUAACGUUAGCCUGGACACGCUUUUAAAUUAUGCGUUAAUAUGUAGUGUACGUUUAUCUCACCGUGUCAUCGUUAUACCGUCAGUUUAUAUUAUUAUUCAAUAUAAUUAAAAAGAGAAGAAGUGUUUGGUUCAAUGUUCCAAAUUAUUUGUCAGAAUAUUCACGUUAUGUACUUAAAAAUAAUGUAUAAUGUACGUUUUUCAGAAAUAUAGGUAUUUGGACGAACUAAAUUAUUACGUAGCGCAAAUAUCUUACGAUUGAGAUUUAAUGAAAAUGCAUGCAUACGUUACGUUCUUCCAUACGUAUCGUCGUGUACGUUCGUGUUAAACAAUUUGUUAUUAUCUUUCUCCACACACUUACGCUCUUAUAUUCUCUCAUCCGCGCUAGGGCAUGUAAGCGGGAAUAUGUCCGCGGUUCUGUGGGUGUGCGUGCGUAUAUCUCCUCGCUUAUUUUGACGAAAGGUAUUUUUUCAAAAGAAGAAAGAUAUUUUGUCGUUCGUUCUCCUGUCAUUAAACUAAGCAGGCAAUGCGAUAAUACGAUUAGCAGUGUAUUUCAAUUAGCUAUUUAGCUGCAUUAAUUAAUUAGCAGAUCGAUGUACCACAACUAAUUUAGUUCUUUCAUACGAAGGAAUACUUUUUCCGAAAAAUUAAUUCCCGAUAGGAAAAUUUCAAAGAACGAUCCACUUAUACUGCCAAUUAUCUAAUAUAUCAUAUAUUCCAAACUAAUUAGUUCCUCGGAAAAUGUUAUCUUAAUCGAUUCGUUUAUUUCUCAUUACGUAUAACCCAGUAUAGCAACGACAUACUUAUAUAUCUAGUAACAUAAUAUUUCUAAUUUAUUCAGCAUUUUCCUAAUGUUUUACUCGGAUGAUUAAAUAUCUCGAUAAGCGUACAUAUAAUAAACAUUUACAUAAUAUUUCCCUAACAUAGUAAAGAUCUAUUAUACUUCUUUCUAGCCAUCGUUAUUCGGUCAACCGAUUUACAUCGCACAAAUCAUCAGUUAUAAAUAUUGUAGGAAGAGAUUUUCCCAGAGAUUACUAUUCCUUUUAAAUACAAUAUUCUGAAUUCUACUUUCUUGGUAAUGUCAACAUUCUCUUCGCACAAAAUAAAUAAAUAUGAAUAAUUAAAUGCCAAAAAAAUUUUCCUCAUCGGAAAGUGGAUAAACGCAAUUCGAUUUUUACAUCGUGAAAUGAUCGAAAAGAUAUGAGUAUGGAGAAUCACAUGGGGAAUCAAAUGGAGAAAAAAGAAUCAAGAAGAAAAAACAGAGAUAAAAGCAAACAGAAAUCUUCCUUUUACGCUAAUAUCGAUCCAGAACUGUUGGUAACAUUGUGAAGAGAUAAUUGGGGAUCGUGAAAAUAUGAAAAAGAGGGGAUUAAACGAAACAGCGCAUGCUCGAGUCAAUAUAAAAGAUGUUAGGAGCUGUCCGCGGAAGUUGAAUAAACUAUUUAUUCUGUUUCGAAUCAUCCUACAAGCAUCUUCCUGGAGGUUUCAAGAGAGGGACGAAUUAGAAUAAUAUGUAAGUUCCUGUCCAUCGCGAUAAUGUUACUUAUCUGGAAGAUUAUAAAAAACGCGCUAUCGGUUAGUGAAAUCCUAUUUGAAUUUUAUGCUACUUGAUAUUAACGCAUUAUACUAUAUUUUAUACAAUUUUGUGUUCAAUACUACGAUAUACCGUUUUAUAAUAUACUAUAGAAAGUUGUAUAGUUUAUCAUUUUCUUGCACUAUAUAUUAUAUCUAGUAAUUUGUCUUGGGUAUAUUAUUGUAUAAUAUUAACCAGAGGAAAUAUUAUAAUUUGCGUUAUUUGAACUAAAGCUUAGUGAAUUGUUUGGAAUAAUAUAAAUAUCCCUUGGAAUGUUAAUAUUUGAGUCUCCUUUUCUAAUUAUCGGCUUGUAAAACUGUGUUUCGAUCUAUCAAUCGUAAUGCGUUAUUAAGUACUAUUUGUUUUCUUACAGAUAGUCCUGCAAGGCGUAAUUAUUAAUCGAGUUAAAACUAUUUGUGCUAGUACUUGGUAAGUUCAUUACAUUCUGUUAAAAAUUAGUUUAUAUAUUUUCUCUUUUCUUUUGAAUGAAAUUUAUGAAUGAAAUUUUCUCUAUUCUUUUCAGAUGGUAGACUGAUUCGAUAUAUACGUAAAUACAUGCAUAUAUAUACACACAUAUAUAUAUAUUUCACCGCACUGUGUACUUUGUAUGUACUAAAGUCUAAUGUUCAUGUUUAUAUUUAUUUAUAUAUUUGCCUAUAAACUGAUAUACUCUUUAUAUAUUUCUGAGAAUCAUAUGGAUAUAGAUAAAUGUAUAAAUAAAUAAGCUCAUAAUUUGCCUUCAAUACGUAUAACAUAAGCAGUGCGUUGUAAAAUAUAUAUACAUAUAUGUAUGUAUAUAUAUAUAGACGUAUGUGUAUACAUAUAUGUCAUACGAAUAUCAGUAAACCACGGAUGUAAAAUUAAAAAGAAAAUUGAAAAAUAAGUCAAAAUAAAAAAUGAAGUUAAUAUUAAAGAAAAAAAGAGACAUCGAGAAAAGAAGCAAGCUUAUAUGUAUUAGAAAACUCUGAAGUGUGUUUAACAGAAUAAAAUAUCAAGAGGAUAGAAAUAUACACGUCCAGGAGAGUCGAGCACAUAAUUCAAGGAACCAUUAAAGAGGAAUAUUAAUGGCUACGACGAGUAUAUUCUAUUCCUGGCAAUCUGCUGGACGAUAAGGAAAACCUUAGGGCGAUUAAUAGUGAUUCCGAAAAAGAAGUUCUGCGAAUCAAUAUUGAAGAAGAAGAAGAAGAGGAUGAAGAUGAAGAAGGAGAUACAGGGGAUGAAGUAGUAGAGGGAAUUUAAUGAAAAUGCAUCUGCGUAUAACGAUCUCCCCUACGUAUCGUCAAGUACCUUCGUAUUAAAGGAUUUGGUACUAUUUCUGUCCGUCCGUGUGUGCUCUUAUGCGCGCUUGAAUGCGCCAGUUCGAGCCGAGGGAAAUGAGUGUGCGGUCCUGUGAGCGCACAUUUCCUAUCUGAUUUUGCAAAUUGGAAAGAUACGAGAGGAAUCAUAGGCACACACGCCCAUAGCAUCGCCCAAUCAUCCCAUCUGCUUUAAUACGAUCCCGCACGCGCAAAAGUACGCACACGGAUGGAGAGAGACCAUAAUAAUUGUACAGUAUGAAGAAAUAUACUAAACUAACCGAAGACGAAAGCAGUUCCAAUAGCUUGGAUGUAUUGCAAAGGAGCCGAACUGACUUAUAUUUGAAUUGUAAUUCCAAAGAAGAACAACGCUCCACCAGAUAAUAAAACAUUGCACAUCCAAAGUGAAACACAUUUCCGUUGACACUUUCUGUUCCUCCGUACAUCCGACGAUACGUCUUACAUGGAUAGUACAAAUGCCAGACCAUCAACGAGAUUAAUAUAUGGAAACAUUUUCCUUUUUACAUUUAUGUUUAAAUGGAAAAUCAAUCAAUGCUGUGUUUAUUUAAUGGUAAGAUAUUUUAGAGAUUAUAUGCAGCCGAAGAAAGUAUUAUUAUUUAUAAGUGAAUUUAUCUCAAAUAUUCUAAAUGGUAUGAAUCCCAAAUUGGAGUAAUUAUCCGGUAACUUCUAUAAUAUGGAAAUGGUAUUUUCUAAUAAAUCUUAUACAAAUAUAGUGCUAAAUUUAAAGAAUAUUAAUGGAAUAAUAGAAUGAUUAGUGAUAAAGAUGUUUCAAUCGUUUCUAUUAUUUGUAAAGCUGUUGUUUGGCACGUAUGAUAGCUAGGGAUUAUUUAUCGUAUGAGACACACUUGCGUAUUACUGGGUCGAAAAUCACGGAAGGAAUGACUUACCCUAGUUAAAUUGGUCACGUCAUAACGAUAGAAGACCAAGCUUCCUAGAUUCUAAUUCUCUAACUAGAACGCAUGGGGAUAAAUAUUUCCCCUCUCCUAUAGUUACGUAAUUAUAUUUGUAUCUUUAUGUAAAUAUUAUACUCUAUGUCUCGUUACA